UAGCAACGUUUAAGGACCAUAGAAACUUAAUUUUGCAAUAAUAAUAGUCACCUAGCUCUAUGCUGUUUACCAACUGGGUUCCUAACACAUUAUCUCAGUUGGUUCUAACAAAACCUGUGAGGUCGGCAAAGCACUAAGAGGUUCAACAUGAGCAAACAGUAAUUCAGUCCCUUCCCAAAGGAAGGAACAUGAGGUCUUCAAAUCGCCUUACUUUGACGCUUGUUUGUGCCUGUUAGAACGCAUGGAAGCUUUUUGAAGACAGAAACUUAAGGAAGGAGACUGAGUCUACUAGCCAAGUGCAUUACUUUUAAUAUUUUUCCUCAAAAUGUUAUUUAUUUAGUUACUGUCUGUUUCCCCAGAAAACUGUAAACUCCACUUAUAUUCCCAGAACUUAACACUAAAUGAUAAACGAAUAAAUGAUUAAAGGAUGGACAAGAGAUACUAUAUGUAAAGCUCUGGCAACAAAUGAGGACAUGGCAUGGGACUAAGAUAUAGAUCCUUUUUAAAAGCAAUAACUUUGAUUCACAUAAAGUCAAAUUACCACUAACAUUAUAUUAUCAUUAUUGUGGUUGUAGUAACCAUAUGCACAACAGUGUACAUAAUCCAAACAAAAAUGGGACUUCGAGUUAUUUGCUGAGUCCUGUGUAGUUUAGCAUUGCUUGGAAUGGGCAUGAUCAGAGUCUUUGAGGGCUUUGUAAUGUUUUAUUUCAAACUGAGUAGCCCAAAUUCUCACCUCUAUAUCUUCAUCUAUAUUCACAGCUAUCAUAACUUUCUAGUGAUAAUGUCUAAUUCAAGUCUUUAAAUUUUUUUGAUAAAGUCUUUAUAUCUAUUUCAACACUAUUGAACCCAAUACAUGGCAUUCUUCUAAAAGCAUUUAAUAAAAUGUUUACUCUCA